ensembl:rRNA n-R5s39 nuclear encoded rRNA 5S 39
GUCUAAGGCUGUACCACCCUGAAUGCACCUGAUCUUGUCUGACCUUAGAAGCUAAGCAGGUCAAGACUGGCUUAUAGGAAUACACCUUAGUGCUGCAUGCUUUUGAGC